rnacentral:rRNA from 1 species
GUUAAAACUCAAAUGAAUUGACGGGGGCCCGCACAAGCGGUGGAGCAUGUGGUUUAAUUCGAUGCAACGCGAAGAACCUUACCUGGUCUUGACAUCCACAGAAGAAUCCAGAGAUGGAUUUGUGCCUUCGGGAACUGUGAGACAGGUGCUGCAUGGCUGUCGUCAGCUCGUGUUGUGAAAUGUUGGGUUAAGUCCCGCAACGAGCGCAACCCUUAUCCUUUGUUGCCAGCGAUUAGGUCGGGAACUCAAAGGAGACUGCCAGUGAUAAACUGGAGGAAGGUGGGGAUGACGUCAAGUCAUCAUGGCCCUUACGACCAGGGCUACACACGUGCUACAAUGGCGCAUACAAAGAGAAGCGACCUCGCGAGAGCAAGCGGACCUCAUAAAGUGCGUCGUAGUCCGGAUUGGAGUCUGCAACUCGACUCCAUGAAGUCGGAAUCGCUAGUAAUCGUGGAUCAGAAUGCCACGGUGAAUACGUUCCCGGGCCUUGUACACACCGCCCGUCACACCAUGGGAGUGGGUUGCAAAAGAAGUAGGUAGCUUAACCUUCGGGAGGGCGCUUACCACUUUGUGAUUCAUGACUGGGGUGAAGUCGUAACAAGGUAACCGUAGGGGAACCUGCGGUUGGAUCACCUCCUUACCUUAAAGAA